GCAGGCCUAACACAUGCAAGUCGAACGGUAGCACAGAGGAGCUUGCUCCUUGGGUGACGAGUGGCGGACGGGUGAGUAAUGUCUGGGAAACUGCCCGAUGGAGGGGGAUAACUACUGGAAACGGUAGCUAAUACCGCAUAACGUCGCAAGACCAAAGAGGGGGACCUUCGGGCCUCUUGCCAUCGGAUGUGCCCAGAUGGGAUUAGCUAGUAGGUGGGGUAACGGCUCACCUAGGCGACGAUCCCUAGCUGGUCUGAGAGGAUGACCAGCCACACUGGAACUGAGACACGGUCCAGACUCCUACGGGAGGCAGCAGUGGGGAAUAUUGCACAAUGGGCGCAAGCCUGAUGCAGCCAUGCCGCGUGUAUGAAGAAGGCCUUCGGGUUGUAAAGUACUUUCAGCGAGGAGGAAGGCGUUGUGGUUAAUAACCGCAACGAUUGACGUUACUCGCAGAAGAAGCACCGGCUAACUCCGUGCCAGCCGGCG
rnacentral:rRNA from 1 species